GACCACGUAACUCAGUUGGCAGAGUAUUGGGCUAGUAUUCCCAAAGGUCGUAUAGGUUCGAUUCCUACCGUAGCCA